rnacentral:misc_RNA from 1 species
AAGUCGUAACAAGGUUUCCGUAGGUGAACCUGCGGAAGGAUCAUUACUGAGUUAGGGUCUCAUCUCGAGCCCGAACCUCCAACCCUUUGUUUAAAACACUUUGUUGCUUUGGCAGGCCCGUCUGACACUCCCUUAACCGGGAUCGACGACCGCCGGGGGCGUUUAGUCACCUCUGGUCAGUGCUUGCCGACAGCCUAUUCAAAAUUCUUUAUUAAAUAAUGUCUGAAAAAUUAUAAUUAAAUAUAAUUAAAACUUUUAACAACGGAUCUCUUGGUUCUG